rnacentral:rRNA from 1 species
CAGUAGCCGCGGUAAUACGUAGGGCGCAAGCGUUAUCCGGAAUUAUUGGGCGUAAAGAGCUCGUAGGCGGUUUGUCGCGUCUGCCGUGAAAGUCCGGGGCUCAACCCCGGAUCUGCGGUGGGUACGGGCAGACUAGAGUGAUGUAGGGGAGACUGGAAUUCCUGGUGUAGCGGUGAAAUGCGCAGAUAUCAGGAGGAACACCGAUGGCGAAGGCAGGUCUCUGGGCACUAACUGACGCUGAGGAGCGAAAGCAUGGGGAGCGAACAGGAUUAGAUACCCCCGUAGUCCCUGUCUCUUAUAA